CCCUAUUUUAUAUUUUAUUUUAUUAUAUAAAGUUUUUUUUUUUUUUUUUUUUUGCAUCAAGUGUAAUUGUUGAGUUCAGAUCAGUUUUUCCAGAUGAAUUGUGGGGUGAAACACUGAGAUUCUCUCUGGCAGAUCUUAUAUCUUUGAAAGUGACUGUGGCGUAAGAACUCGUCCAGUUAUGGAUCUUUACUGCCUUCAGUACCAUGUAGAAGAAUGUUUGAUCGUAAAAAUACAUUUUUAUAUUAUGAUAAUGGUAUGCAGAAGCUUUCCAAUACUUUGCCUACAUCGCCUCUUUUAUCCAGAGGAACAUAAAAGCCUCGAAAAUCCCCAGAAUUUAUUGCAAAUUUUAUUGCGGCAGAAUUUCUGUGGUAAUUAUUAUUAAAGGCUAUAACAGAAGAACCAUAAAACUGUUUAGACUCUGGACGUGUCCAAGAGAAGAAGAUCAAGACUCGUCUGAGCAGUUCAACAGGAUUCUAGUGAACACUGCGUCCUCAUGGGAACACAAGUUAGAGAAUCUCUAGUUUCUCUGUGUCAGGCGAGGAGGAGUCUGGGUUUAUAUGUGUUUCUGAAGUGUUUUUAUGGUGCUCUUUAAACUGACGGAGCACAUAUCAGUAAUGUGGUAAUAAUACACUGUUUCAAGAGCCUCCCCUGAGACUCAAAACUGUUACACUGAAAGAAAAUCACACAGCGACAGCCACCAACGUUCAUGAUUUUAAGUAGUGUCACAUUGCUCUCAUAAUCCCUGUGUAUGACAUCCCUGGACUGUAUGAAACCCGUCCGUCCGUUCUGUGCGUGAGAGAUACACAUCGCUUUGACAAACACUGGAAAGGCUGCAGAUUGUGACGUGUUAAAGGCCCAGAGCCAGAAUAAAGCUUUGGGAACUCGCUAAACUUCUGCUGAUCCCACCAAAUCAAAUCACACAGAUGGAGAGAGAGUUAUCACUGAAUGUGUGGCCGAAUCCAGAGUUCAGCUCAAGGCCGCGAACGCAACGCGGCCUGACAUGUCACCUUCUGACUUCUGACGUGGAGUUCGUCUCAUCGUGAACAGUGUGAAGAGCCUCUCAGAUCCUCCAUGUGUGCCGAGAGCUGAAUAUAGAGCAGGAUCUAACCACACGGUCUGGAUUGGUCCAGCGGUUCACAGCCGCAGGUGAAGCCAAGGUCAGGGAUUAUUAUGGGACAUUUGGAGGCUUACAUUCAAACCGCUUGUUCAAAUCCACCGUCAGCUGUGUUUACCAGAAAUCACAUCUGUAAUGAAGCCCUGUUCUGGAUUUCCCUUCUUAAAGGGACAGUUCACCCAGAAAACGGUCAUGAUGGUUUACAUGUCUCUUAGUUAGUAAUGCUUGAUUAUGUCUGAUCAGUGGAGUCUUUCAAUGGUCUGAUUAUAUUUUAUUUUAUUUUAUCAUUGCAGGCAUUUGAAUAGCUUUAUUUUAGUGCUUGACUUUCCUCUUUUGAACUGAUAUCAUGUUGUAAUGUAAUGCUUUAAUGUAAGUCAGAUGGUCAUUAUUGCAAAAUAAUGCAGUAAAACUUCUCCAGAUUUAUUUUGCAAUAAUAACCGACUGACACACAAAUGCAAGUGUAAAAUCAGAUCAUCACAGUGGCUCAAUCCCGUUUUAUGAGUUUUGAGGCGGUUUUGUGUGUUUUGGAGGGAAAUGAGGGUGACCCCGUGACCUCUGCACCCGCUCCAGAGCAAACACUGCCUCACUGUCCGCUGUCGUCUUAUCUGUGAACAUCCGCACAUCCCUCUGGCUCCGUGACCCUCCGGUAACCUUGUCUGUAACUCAUACCAGGACAGCGAGGAUCAGGGGAGGUCAGAGGUCAAGCUCCUGAUUUCACUCGCUAAUUUCGAUUGUCGUUUGCUGAUUAGACGUGAAUAGAUGCGGACGGAUAGUGACGGCGGGCGGUAACUCUGCUGUGAUUGAUUUAAUGGAGUAAAUAUGGAACAGAGAUUGAACUUCAAUUAUAUGACGAAUAGUUCUGGUUUUUAUUGUUGUUAUUGUUAUUAUUGAAUUGUAUUUAUUAUUAUAAAUUAAACAUUAUUUAUAUUUAUCUUAAUUUUUUUAUUAUUUAUUUGUUUUAUUGGUUUAUUUUAACCUGCUGAUCAAAACCAAUUAAACCAGCCAUGGCUUGUUAGGCUAAUCCUGGUUAUCCUGGUUUGUUUUGUAUUGUGGGAGACCAGCUCAGACCAGCUCAGACCAGCUGAGUCCAGCAGUCCGGUGUUAAUGUGGUUCAGGUUGUGUUUUCUCCAGCAGGGAGUAGUUUGCUGUGAUCUGGAGAUGCUCUUUUGUUUACUGCGUGCCUGAGAUGCUAUUCCUGUGCCGCUGAUUGGAGUUAUGUGUUGGCUUUAAUCGGGAACAGUUAUCCCGGCUCUGCCUCAGGAAUGCGCCUCAGGAGACGGUAGAAAAUAGCUUGGCGAGGACACCAGAUAAAAUCUGUUUGGUGGAACUGAUCUGACUUCUCUUUUUAUAGAGCAGCAGCAGCGCCCAGACCCACCCGCGAGUCUUCCUGUGGGGAACCGGAGCCGGUGCGAGUCACGGAAACAAGCCGGAUCACCCGUCCGCACACCUAUGACAUACCGAGUCGUAAUUAUGAGUCAAAAUUAUGUCAGAAAUAAAGGUCGAAAUUAUGGCUUUCUGUCAUGAUUAUGACUUAUGUCAAUAACGACUCAUCUCAUAAUUGACUUUUUAAGUCAGAAUUUCAACUUUUUGUCAUAAUUGAUUUUUUAAGCCAAUUUCAACUUUUUACGUCAUAAUUUCAACUUU